ACAACAUGAACAUAACUUGAUUAGCAUAUUGAAUAUUUUUAAACAAACUUGAAAUUUUAUUUAGUACUUAGAAAAUUAUCUGUCGAUUUUUUAUUCAACUUUCCGCAAAACUAAUUUGCACGCUAUGCUCGUUUACACGAAAUUUAGAUACUUUCCGACAAGUUUUGAUUUUCAUUAUCACAUGUGCAUACAUUGCAAAUGAAAGCUUUUUAAAAUAGUAUAUCUCAUUUUGUUUUAUAUUUAAUACUUUUUGAUCAAUUUUAUUUCAAAGUCGU
rnacentral:lncRNA from 1 species